CACAGAGACCAGCGCUGGCUCUGAGGUCUGGCGCGUGGCCCGCACCCAGGAAAGGAGCACGAAGGGAAGUGGAGUCUCAGAAGUCACUCGGCCUACCAAGAGUUGAAGGCACAGUCAUGCACAUUUUUGAGACAAAGGAUCGCCCAUCGGAAAGACGCGAGGUUAUUUUACAGAAAGGUCAACAAGGGUGCCCAGCCAGGCUGGCCACGGGCAGCAAAGGACCCAGCACACCGUUGCCUGCCAGCUGCUGGAGGCGCCAGAUCUCCAUGCGAGGACGGAGGCUGUGAUGAGAAGACAGCACUGGGGAUGGACUGGUUGGAUCUCCUUGCAGUCCAAGAGACUCUCCAGAGUCUUCUCCAACAUGCAGUUUCAGAAUCGACUAAUACCAAAUAAGUGUUUUCCAUUGGGCUGCUUCAGGUCAAGAACCAUGACAAUACUGCCUCUGCAUCCCCUCCCUCCUCCCAAAGCCCUGGAUGAACCCGAAGCCUCUGACUUUGCUCAGCGGGACUUUGCAAUGGCUAAUCCACAGCAGCCCACUUUCUCCAGCUUCUCCUCCCAGUUGGGGGAUGAGCCAGCUGGGCAGAG